rnacentral:lncRNA from 1 species
GAUUGCCUCAGCACAGGCCCCAGGACUCUGUCAUAUGCUUUGAUGUAUGACCAUGAACUCCUGGAUGGAUGCUUGGCUAUGUUUCUCUAGGUUCAAAAGAAAGAGGAGUGAAGAGGAGUAAAACACACAUCUAUUAAAAAGCAAGAAGAUUAAAUAAAUUGAAGCUUUUUAUUUCUCUUUCUCUGCCUAAGGUGUGUCUGUGAGGGUGUUGCCAAAGGAGAUUAACAUUUGAGUCAGUGGACUGGGAGAGGCAGACCCAUCCUCAGUCUGCACCAUCUAAUCAGCUGCCAGCAUGGCUAGAAUAAAAGCAUGCAGAAGAAAGUGGAAGGGCUUGACAUGCUGAGUCUUCUGGCCUUCAUCUUUCUCCUGUACUGGAUGCUUCCUGCCCUUGAACGUCGAACUCCAAGUUCUUCAGCUUUUGGACACUUGGACUCACACCAGUGGUUUGCCAGGGGCUCUGAGGUCUUCAGCCACAGACUGAAGGCUGCACUGUCGGCUUCCAUACUUUUGAGGUUUUGGAACUCGGACUGGCUUCCUUGCUUCUCAGCUUGCAGAUGGCCUAUUGUGGGACUUCACCUUGUGAUCGUGACCCAGUGGCUGUCUUGAUGUCUCACAGCAGGAAGAGACUCUCUCAAAUAGGUGUACACAUGGGGAGAGAGAGAGCAAGGAGACUGAGAUACAAUCAGCCACCAGCAAGUUGUCUUGAUUUUCUGAAUGGAGCGUGGUAGCAUGUUAUAGAGUCCAAGGAAUUUGCCAAAUCCGUGUGAGAAGAUUUGCCUCUCACAUGUGAGAGAAUUUUUUGAGAAAAAAAAGAUCCUGACCCCGUCCCUCUGCCACCACCCGAGUGAGGAAGACUGACAGAGCACAUUGGCUUGCUGUGGAGACAAGAUCAGGGAAAGCGCCCCUGAAAAGAAAGCAUUUUGGAAGUCCUGAAGGUGGAGAAGGAGAUUUAGAGGAAGAGUGAUAAAUCAGAAGUCUUCGUCCAAGAAUUAGCUUUGCACCAUCUACAGACCUAAGCAGCUGCAGUUCUGGAGGCUGGGAAGUCCAAGAUCAAGGCAUUGACAGGUUCACCUUGUGGUGA